AAACAUGAACUAAAACAGAAAUUGGAAAUACCUUAGCAUGUGAGCCGAGGCUCAACUCACCUCUCGCAAUAUGAGUUGAUUUCUGAAAGCAGAAAUAAAAACAUCAAAAUACCAAAACCUGUCAACUGGUGGAGCUCAGGUGUCUUUUCCUUUAAUUCAGUACAGCUUUCAUCACAUCUUCUUGCUAUAUUAGAGUACUUGUAUAUGUCAUGCAUAAUGUUCUCAUGAUAUGCACAUGUUUGUCUUAAAUGCCUUUAUGCCUACAUGAUUAUGCUAUGCGCCCUAGGCACGUUUGUCAUAUGUCCUUUUUUCGUCACGAUUUUUUGGAUCUGCGUUCAUUGCUUUGACUCUUGACUUUCUCUUCAGGCUUUGUACCUGCCCCCAAGUUUCACGAGUAAUCUGUGUUUCUCAGAUAUCACUCUUUUGUCCCUAAUUGAACUUUGUCCUUGCUUUGAGGCUCUUGUAUUUGUCAAAUUUUCAUUCAAGUAAUGCUUAACAUUUCUUUUGUUUAGAGUAUGUCAUUUCACUAUUUAUCAUGUAAAUAAACACAUAAUAAGAUGCAUGAAAAUGGUUAGGUAGGGGCAAAAAGGCUACUUCACAUUUAUUUAUUUCAAAUGUAGCAAACAAAGAGAGGUAAUCAAUGAUAGUAAAAAGUGUCAUAAAGAGAAAAGGGAUCGCAUUCAACGGAUACAAAUGCUCUAGAUAUUCAACACAUGAACUCUUCCACAUUCCUUCAUCUAGAAUCUUUUCGAGCAUGGCUUCUUGCGUAGAAGAUUUCGAGCUUUCCAAAAAUGCUUCAAAUACUGUAGUCUCGCUGUUUGACCCACUGUUCAAAAUGCCUUGCUUUUCUAAGCCCAGUGUUUGUUUCAUUAGAACGCCCUUUCGGGUUUUCAUCCUAAUCUUUCGUGUUAAUCAAGACGCCCUUUUCGGGUUUUCACCUUGAUCUCUUCUUUUUUUUUAAGAUGCCCUUUUCGGGUUUUCAUCUUGGUUUCCUUUUUCAAGCAUAAUAUUUCUUUACAGCAUCUGAGUUCACUGGAUUUGGUAACUCCUUCCCAUCCAUCUCGGUGAGAAUCAAAGCUCCACCCGAGAAUGCCUUCUUUACGACGUAUGGACCUUCCCAAUUUGGUUCCCAUUUUCCUCGAAAGUCUUUUUGUAUCGGAAGAAUCUUUCUCAGCACGAGUUUUCCUUCGUGGAAUUCUCUUGGCCGUACUUUCUUAUCAUGGGCUGCGAUCAUUCUCUUCUGGUACAUCUGUCCAUGGCAGAUUGCCUUCAGACGUUUUUCUUCAAUAAGGUUUAACUGGUCAUAUCGAGCUCGAACCCAUUCUGCUUCUUCUAGUUUUGAUUCCAUUAAGACUCGUAGAGAGGGGAUCUCAACUUCGAUAGGUAGCACAGCUUCCAUUCCAUAUACUAGAGAGAAAGAAGUUGCUCCCAUAGAUGUCCGUACAGAUGUGCGAUAUGCAAACAGAGCAAAGGGUAGCUUCUCGUGCCAGUCUUUAUAUGUCUCGGUCAUUUUUCCAAUAAUCCUCUUAAGAUUCUUGUUGGCCGCUUCAACGUCUCCAUUCAUUUUCGGGUGAUAAGGUGAUGAGUUAUGAUGCUUUAUUUAAAAUUGCUCACACACUUCCUUCAUCAUCUUGUUGUUCAGAUUCAUGGCAUUAUCUGAAAUGAUUCUUUCAGGCAAACCAUAUCGACAGAUGAUUUCCUUCUUCAAAAACCUACACACUGCGGUCUUCGUCAGGUUGGCAAACGAAGCGGCUUCUAUCCAUUUUGUGAAGUAAUCAAUAACCACAAAAAUGAAUCGGUGGCCAUUAGAAGCUUUUGGGGAAAUUGGCCCUAUAACAUCCAUGCCCCACAUAGAAAAAGGCCACGGAGAAGUCAUGACAUGAAGGGGCGAAGGGGCUACAUGAAUCCUAUCGUCAUAAAUUUGACAUUUGUGGCAUUUUCUUGAAAAACUAAUGCAGUCGCUUUCUAUCGUCAACCAGUAAUAACUGAGUCUCAUAAUCUUCCUAGCCAUAGUGAAACCAUUGGCAUGUGUCCUAUAAACUUCUUCAUGGACAUCUUCAAGUAUUUUUCUAGCUUCAACAGCAUCCACGCAUCUCAAGAGCACCUGAUCCUUUCCUCUUUUGUACAGGAUGUCCCUAUCAAGAACAAAUCCCGCUGCCAUUCUUCUGAUUGUUCUUUUUUCGUUCUCAUUUGUUUGUUCGGGAUACCUUUGAUUCUUGAUGGAUUUUAAGAUAUCAUGAAACCAUGGCUGCCCAUCCGGCUCUUUCUCAAUGCUGAAACAAUGUGCAGGGACUUUAUAUAUGCUCAUUUGGAGAGGCAUUAUUUCUGUUUCUCUGUUUGCUUUGAACAUUGAAGCUAAAGUGGCCAGGGCAUCAGCCAAUUGGUUUUCUUCCCGUGGAAAGUAAUUAAAAGUUAUUUCUUUGAAUUCUUUAAUCAGUCCUGCCACGAGAUAAUUGUAUUUGACUAAUUUUGAAUCCCUCACUUCCCAAUCUCCACGGAUCUGAUAAAUCACCAAUGCUGAGUCUCCAUAUACCUCUAAAGUUUGGAUGUUUCGUUCAAUUGCUGCACGAAGUCCCAUGAUACAGGCCUCAUAUUCUGCUAUGUUAUUGGUACAGAAGAAAUCCAGCUUGGCAGUGAACUGAUAAUGGUUCCCUUCUAGUGAUACUAAAACUGCUCCAAUCCCAUGCCCCAAGGCAUUCGAUGUGCCAUCAAAGCUCAUCUUCCAUGACUUUUCUUUUGAUGACUCACAUUCUUUUUCUGUAAUGCACAUCAAGUCUUCGUCUGAGAAAUCAAAUCUCAAUGGCUCGUAUUUCUCUGUUGUUCGAGUUGCUAAGAAGUCAGCUAUUGCGCUCCCUUUUAUCGACUUCUGACUUACAUAGGCAAUGUCGUAUUCCGAUAAAAGGAUCUGCCAUCGUGCCAUUCUUCCUGAGAGUGCAGGUGAUUCCAUCAUGUACUUUAUUGGGUCCAACUUUGAAAUUAGCCAUGUCGUAUGAUACAGCAUAUAUUGCCUGAGUCUCUAAGCUACCCAAACCAGAGCGCAACAGUAUUUUUCCAUGGACGAAUACUUUGCCUCAUAUUUCAGUAAACUUUUUGCUAAGGUAGUAGAUCAUCUUUUCUUUCUUUCCUGACUCGUCAUGUUGCCCCAAUACACAACCCAUCGAAUUCUCGAACACAGUCAAAUACAAUAUCAAUGGUCUUCCCGGCAUUGGCGGUACUAGCACUGAAGGACUAGACAAAUACUGUUUUAUCUUGUCAGAAGCCACUUGGCACUCCUCAUUCCAUUCUCCGGGAUUAUGUUUUCAAAGGAGUCGAAAGAUUGGGUCACACUGGUUGGUAAGUUGAGCGAUGAAUCGGGUGAUGUAGUUCAAUCUCCCUAAAAAUCCUAUGACUUCCUUUUGCGUGCGCGGGGGUGAUAACUCUUGAAUGGCUUUUAUUUUAUCUAGGUCAACCUCGAUACCUCUUUCGCUGACAAUGAAGCCUAGCAACUUUCCCGAGGUAACCCUAAAUGUACAUUUGGUCGGAUUGAGCUUUAGCUGGAACUUUUUCAGUCUGUCAAACAACUUCUUCAGGUUCGUUACAUGCUCUUCUUCCCCUCGGGACUUAGCGAUCAUAUCGUCGACGUAGACCUCUAUUUCUUUAUGCAUCAUGUCAUGGAAUAAUGUUACCAUAGCCCUCUGAUACGUUGCCCCAGCAUUCUUUAAUCCGAACGGUAUCACCUUAUAGUAGAAUAUUCCCCACAUUGUUAUGAAAGUAGUUUUCUCCAUAUCCUCGGGGGCCAUCUUGAUCUGAUUAUACCCCGAGAAUCCAUCCAUGAAAGAAAACAAUGAAUGUUUUGCUGUGUUAUCCACCAACGUGUCAAUGUGUGGCAAGGGAAAAUUAUCUUUAAGACUUGCUCGAUUCAGGUCACGAUAGUCCACGCACAUUUGUACUUGCCGUCUUUCUUUGGUACCGGGACUAUGUUAGCCACCCACUCUGGAUAUUUAGAGGCUUGUAGGAAGCCAGCAUCGAAUUGCUUCUUGACUUCCUCUUUUAUUUUCAACAACAUCUCAGGUCUCAUCCGUCUUAGAUUUUGUUGAAUAGGUUUGCAUUCUGGCUUUAAUGGGAGUUUAUGGACUACUACAUCUUCAUCCAAUACUGGCAUGUCUUGAUAUGACCAUGUGAAUACAUCUUUGUACUCGCGGAGCAAAGCAAUCAAAUUAUGCCUGGUAUCCUCUAAAAUAAAGGUGCCAAUCUUCACUUCUUGCUUCUUUUCUUCAAUUCCCAAAACUAUUGUUUCAACAGAUACUUGAUGAGGCAAAAUUUUAUUUAUCCUCUUGCUCCACCAUUCUUAGCAAGUCAGAAGACGAGACAUAGUCUUCAGCAUUUUCUUCAACUUCAAAUUCUCCUAAAAAAAUAGCCUUCUCAAAAUCGAUUUCAGGACUCGUAAUGGGUUUGUUCAUGCCAUUGAUAUCUAAGCACCUAAAAGUUGAAUGGAAAAGGAAACUAUAGAGGGGCAUCCAAGUAUUGGAACCAACAAACGAAAUGUUAUGGCAUGGUAUGAGGCAAAUGCACAGAUAGGCUAUGAAAUGAGAAGAUGAUUAUGAAGUUAGUGAUAAUGCGAAAGAUCGUGACAAAAUGCAUCUUCAUUGAUAUUCAUUUAAAUGAUAAAGAGCGAAUGCAAGCUCUUACAAAAGAAUUCUAUUAUAUCUAAGGACACAAUAGAGGGUUAAUGUUUGAGCAUUACUCUGAAGACUUAUAAACUACAAGAAGGUCCUCAGCAAUCCAAUUGUUCAACAUGAAACCAGGAGGACAAGGGCGUAUCAUUGAAACAUCUCUAAUUGUCUCACUUCCUUUGUCAAUGACAUUUAUACUGACAUUCUGAAGACUCCUUUCGAUUAAUAACAGCGUGCUUUGUAUAUUAUCCUGUCUGGAGUAUAUCAUCCCUGCAGAUGUAAAUGUUUUUGACAAAAGAGGGUACGUUAUGGGCUCCCAUUCUAUUUCUCGGCCCAAAGUUCUCGCAAUCCUUCUCUCCUGAUCCUUCUUCCACUGUUUUCUUCUUUGACGCAUAUCUGGUUGGAACCCUAAACCGUAUCGAGAUUUAUGAUGUACCGACUUUAAGGCCCUGACUAUUCCUUAUAGAUAUCUCCCUAAACCUUUUCUCGCUCGUGCUCCCCUUCCUACAGUCAGUUUGACACCCAUCCCGGUAUUUCUUGACAAUUUUGGCGCGGGAAUUCUGUUUCCCUCAAUGACGAAUGUGGCAUUGACAAAUUCAAGUGAUCGGAAGGAACAUUCUAAAGCAUCUUUACUCACUUCAAUGUAUGGUGCGUCAGUAGAAAUAGAUGCUACAAUAUCUUCUUCUCCCUCGACGGUGACCAAACAGCCAUCCAUGAUGAAUUUCACCUUUUGAUGGAGGGAUGAUGGGACUGCUCCAGCAGAGUGGAUCCAAGGUCUUCCCAAGAGACAAUUGUAUGAUGGUGUAAUGUCCAUGACUUGAAACUUAAUAUCAUAUAUAUAGGGACCCACUUCUAGAGGGAUCUUGAUUUUUCCCAUGACUUCUCGUCUUUUUCCAACGAAUGCCCUUACUGUAGAAUGGCAGGGCUUAGAUAGGACAAAUCCAUCGGAAUCCUGGAAAGUGUAGCCAAAAGUAUGACAUUGAGUGUCGAUCCAUUGUCAAUGAGCACGUUCGGUAUUAUAUAGCCCUUACAACGGGUUGUGAUAUAUAAUGCUUUCACUGAGCCUCUACCAUUGGGCGGUAUUUCAUCAUCACUAAAAGAAAUAAAAUUAUCCGCAUUCAAGUUGUUCACCCACCUAUCAAGCUUCUCAACAGAUAUAUUGUUUACCACGUAAGCUUGAUUCAACACCUUUAACAAGACGUUCCGGUGAGGUUCUGAAUUUAACAGCAGAGAUAAUACCGAAAUUCGUGCUAGCUGCUUACUCAAUUGUUCCACCACGUUGUACUCACUGUGCUUAAUAAAUUUUAAGAAUUCCUGUGAUUUUUCCUCGUCCACAGGCUUUUUUAGCUUCUUGCUCAGGCACAGUUUCAUGCUCAUCUUCGGUCACACGCAUUGGUGCUUUUCCUUUCUGUUUCAGGUCAUUGUUCUUCUUCACUGGUUCGACCUCUUUCGAAUAACAUCUUCCACUACGAGUGAAAUGACCUACUUCCCCAACGCUUCCAGUCAUGGCUUUGGGUUUUUCAUCUUCAGGUGUGACGAUAUUAACGUCAUAUUUCCAUUGUACUACUUUAUUGUCCUUGUAGGGGAAAGGAGAUGGCACCUCGAUUAUCAAUUUUGGUUUCACCGGCUCCUUCUUCGCGUCGUAAUAAAUUAUUAAUGAUCAGUCGGUGCUAUACGGAAAACCUGACGAUUGAUGGUCAGAGGCGCAUAUUUCUCCUCCAUCGGCCUCUCCGCCUUUAUAAAAAAUCCCAAUCUCCUUAUUGUCCAUCAUAUCUUGUAGUAAUCUCCUGAACUCUUGGCAGGAUUGAAUGUCGUGCCCCUCAAUACCAUGAAAUUCAAAAAAACUUUGAUCUUUUGUAUUCCUUCCCUCGAAUACUCUGUUAAGAUGACAGAACAACCCUUUUUCAACUAGCACCUCCCAGAUUUUCUGCAGAGGUGUUCUUAUUUCAGAAACCCAUCUUCUACUUUGUCAUUUGUCCUCCUCUCCCACUGCGCUCACAUUUCCUUCGGCGUGGUUUGGAAAUGGGUUCCCGAAUGUACCGCCGGUGCCAUCAAAUCGCAGAAUACCCGUAUCGAUGAGUCAUUGAACUCUCCUUUUGAAGGCCAGACAGUUUUUUGUAGAGUGCCCCUGGUUCCCGGCAUGGUGUGCACAACUAGCAUUUGGAUCAUACCAUUUCGGGUAUGGAGGUUUUAGGGGUACCAUGUAAUGGGGAGAUAUUAAUUUCUUCUCUAGGAGUUUUGGGUACAGUUCCCCAUACGACAGAGGAAUAGGGGUGAAUUGCGGUCUCUCAGGAUUGGGUCUUGUUGGUCUUGGUUCAUUUCUGGGUUGGCUUUGAGCGGGUAGAGUGUUUUGUGGGAAUGUGGUGACGAGCCUUUGGUUGUUCAUGGCGUAUACGGGGUAGGAAGGAGGUGGUGCUUGGUAGUAAGGGGUCUGAGGAGGAUAAUAAAAAUUCGGAGGAGGGUAAUUUUGAGGUCGGGGUUGGUUUGGAUAUGGAUUAGGGGUAUAACGGCUUCUCAUUUCCACCAUAUGGGCUUCUAGUUCUUUCUUCUUUAUAGGCACUACCCUUCUUGAACUUUCUUGACCUUCCAUUCUACCGCUCUUGACGGUAUUCUCUAUAAGCUCACCGGAUAUUACAAUAUCUGUAAAGUCCUUCGUGGCACUUCCCACUAGCUUGUCAUAAAAUGGUGCUUUUAAAGUGUUGAUAAAGAGAACUGUUAUCUCCGUUUUUGUUAGUGGGGGUUCCACUUGGGCUGAGACAUCCCUCUAUCUCUGCGCAUACUGUCUAAAAGUUUUUGACAGCUGUUUCUCCAUCAUUUACAAAGUCAUCCGGUCUGGCACCAUAUCCGAUACAUGCUUGUACUGCUCACAGAAUGCUGAUGCCAAGUCCUUCCAGGAUCGGAUCUUUUCCCUACUAAGCUGGUUGUACCACCGAAGAGCCGAUCCUAUUAGACUAUUCUAAAAACAAUGUAUGAGUAGCUUGUCUUCAUUCACGUAACCAAUCAUUUUCUGGAAAAACAUGACAAGAUGCACCUUUGGACAUCUCGUGCCAUCGUAUUUUUCGAAAUAAGGCACCUUGAACUUCGGAGGCAGAACCAGAUCGGGCACCAAACUGAGCUCUUUGGCACUUAGUGCAGAGAAGGCUUCAGUACCCUCUAUUGCUUUGAAUCUUUCCUCUAAGCUCCUAUACUUCUCUUGAGCCUCGUGGUCAACGGUUUUCAACUUGGCUAUUUCUGCUGGAUCGUCCAAAUCUGGAACGAGUAGAUCAGCAGGACUAGCCCCCGGGUUUGAUACAAAUACUUCCUGCCCUAUAUGAGCAGGUGGCACCGCCCGUUGCUCCAGGUCUGUGGGUUCCCCUUGGGUGUACCCUCUUUGUGUUGUGUGGGCAUGCGGUGGAGUGAAUCCUGGGGGAUAGAGCGGAUCUUGACUAUGAUUAACUCUUGAUUGAAGUUCCUCGACGUCAGGGCUCUGCAUAGGUCCCUUCCCUUUAACUAAAGCUGACAUCAUCUCCAUCAUCUUGGCCAUUUGGUCUCUUUGUUCAAGCGAUUCUUCUCGAGACCUCACCAUUAAAUCUCUUGUCUCUUGCUGCGACUUGGCCAACUGCUCUUGUAAUUCCCUCUGAACUCUUUCCAUUCUUUCGAUUCUUUCAUUGAAGGCAGCCUCCAUUGCCCUAGCUUGUCGACGCGUUCUAUACGAAUGACGUGGUUCCAAUCUCGUGGUAUUACAACUGCGAAUUGUAUGUUUUAACCUCAACGAAUGAUUAUGGGAUAUGCAAUGAAUGAAUGAAUGAAUGAAUGCAUAAAUGUCAAAUGAAUGCUAGUCAUGAAAGAAAUGCAAGAAGUUGGUGUUGAUUUCAAGAUAGCCCCUAUUUAGGCAUUUAAUUCAUCAAAAGAAAACAUUUUUCCAUUUUCGAUUCAACCAUUACACAAACUUCCUAGCUAUAGAGCUGUAUUUCUUUACUCGUGCUAAGAACUCUGAUAUAUUUGAUUUUCGACUUGGAGGGAAUUGGAAAAUGAGAAUUUCAGCUUCUUCCGAUAAUUGUACCACAUGCAUGGCUACCCCACGAACUUCAUUGAUCAAAUAGCUAAGUUACAUUUCUUUUUCUUGGAGGCCCUCUUCGUAAGCACGAACAUCUCUAUCAUACUGACUAUCUUUUUCUUCCAAAGCCUUCAAGAGAUUAUCUAGUUGUUGUUGACGAUCUUGCAGCAUAUCUUCUAACUCUCGUAUCCUUUAUUUUAGUUCUUGACGUUUAGAUUGACUAGUCAUUACCUCUGCAGAUACAGCUUCAUAUUCGGAGUUCUUCUUCCUCAGUUCUAUCAUAGCCCGCGCAGCCUUUUCCUCCUCUUUCUUCGCUUUUCCUUUCCAAAAUUCCAUCCCGCCUUUAAUGUUGCUUAUUUCUUCUUUCCAUUCUGCAGACGACUUGCCCAGCCCACUAUUUUUUAUUGUGCCUCUUAACUUUUUAUUUUCCAGAUGGAAGUCCCUUAAGUCAUUUCUCAUAACUUCAACUUCUUUUUGCACUUUCUCUGUUCUGGAUCUUUCAAUCUGAACGUCGAUCUUCAAUUGGUAGUUUUCCUCUUGAAGAGCGCUAAGGUCCCGAGACAUCUUGGCCUUUUCUCAUUCAAGUUCUUGUCUUGCCAUUUCUAGCUCAGACGGCAUUUCCUCCGAGAAAGGAUUCUGGACGGUGUAGUUCGUUGACGAGAUUUGCUGACUGUUCACUCAUUGUUUUCUCCAUAUGACGAGAAAGCGAACUCGGAUUGUGCCAAUCCUCUAGUGGCGGGUAUGAAUUGUCGCGAAGAAAAUUGCCUUUGGACUAAUAGCGGGUCAUAUCCAACUCCUCCCCAUAACCCGAGUAGUGGUACCCAAUCUUGAUCUCCGACAUUGUAUGGCAGAACCGAAGGGCGUAUCCACGGUGCUCUCCACGUUAUAUCCUCAGCUCGAAGGUUCUGAAAAACUGAGACCCAAUACUGUUCAGUGACUUCCUUUGGCCAUUCUUUCUUGAGAUAAGCUUCCAACGAGGCAAAUGUUUCUGAAAACAUAUGGAACGGGGUGCGCUCUACUUUCUAAAAGUAACUCAAAAUCCAGACAUUUAGUAACUGCGUGCAUCCGAUAAAGCGUCCUUUCCCCAUUUCCUACAACUAUUUAAGGAUCUAAAGGUCUCGGCUAGGAUAGUCGGGACAGGGUUGAUUCCUUGUUUUAAUUUUUCGAAAAAAUCCACCACCGCAACUUCUAUGUGUCCAAGGACUUUCGGGAAGAUGAUCAAACCGUAAAUGGCCAAAGCGAACAGAUUUACCCUUUUCAACAUGUCAGGAUGGUUCAGAACCAAUUCUCGUAGGGAAGACCAUGGAAUGCAAAUGGUUUCAUUUUUCUUUUUUAUUUGUUUUUCGGCCCAUGCGUCAGUCAUGUCUGUCAAUCUCACUAACUUUUUCUUGAAGGUCAUCGGGUUAGGCUCUUUCACGUAUACUAUAUAGAAUUGCGUACUUUCAACACGAAGUAAAGCAACGUACUCCUCAAUAGUCAGAGUCAUAUCUUCUAGAUUGAAGGUAAAAUAUUGGUAAGCCGGAUCCCAAAAUCUGACCAUGGCUUGGAUCAAUCGUUCGUCUACGUUGACAGCAAUCAAAUUGGCUAUGUCUCCAUAUAUCUCGGUGAAGAUACCCCUAGUGUCCGAGUCUCACUGAUUCCAAACCCAGACUAAAUCUUCAAGGUUAUUCUGGCAAACAUUCACAGUUACGUACUCGGGCAGAUUAGCAAUACAUCCCUCCACUAGACUAUCCCCUUUUUCUUUUUGAGUUUUUUGAGACCAGUCCCGAACCACGGCAUUCUUCUCGGUUGUUUGCAUAAUUGACCCUUCCAUUAGAAACCCGUUUUUUGGCAACCAAUCUCUAGUCAACACCUUCCUAAUAUGAUGCCUAUAAUGCAUGAUGCAAAAUAAGAACACAGACAAAUAUCUUGGUUAGUACAACAAAUAUGAAUUACAAAAAAUCAAAGUAGAAGUGUAAAUGUCAAAGAAAUAAAAGGUAAGAGGUGUUCCUCCCAUGUACUUAUUUUGGUGACUAUUAAUAGACGGAGGCUCGGCAUGGCUCUAGUUAGGUGGCUCGUAUGGUUCACUAUAUGUAGUUUCGGUUCUAGAUAGGUACUCAAAUUGUCCGUACUGUCAUCUACUAAGAUUAGUACGAAACCUCGGUCGUAGCCCAUCACAGGCUCACGAGUUCAAUUCGAGGGAUUACAUUUACUUAUGCCUAUGCGAGGGACAAGUUAACUCACGAAAGCAUAAGUCAUAUGUAACCCGAAAGUAUUCACUAGCCUAUGCGGAGGGACGAGUUAACUCACGAAGGCCUAGCGUUUACUUUCACUUAAACGGACGGAGCCCGGGUAGAGAGCUCAUGUUAUGCAAAAUGCAAGUGCACGGUGUGUGGGGGAGAAACUCACAAACCUUUACGUUUUAUUUAAAAACUAAACUAAAACUAAAAUCAUAAGAAUUUAAAGCUUUAAAACAACUGGACAAAACAAGUUAGAAGAAUAUAUACAACACAAUGCAAAUGCAUGAUUUUUCAAAAACACAAUUUUAGGAUCACGACUAAAUAUUAAUUUGAACAAGGAAUUUUGAAAAUUUUGACAACACACGUUUAAUUCGACUUGACUCUCAAAAACUAGUCCCAAGUGGAGUCGCCAGCUGUAGCGACGUAAAAAUUUUUGGUUUGGGGUCGCUAAUUGUGGCGAUCUAUUGAAAACUUGGAAACUGAAAUUUUAUUUUAGAAUAAACAAGGAGUCGCCACCGAUCCCUUUUUUAUAGGUGUGAUCGGACACCUAUUAGAUCUAUUUUUUAAACAAAAGAAGGCUGAGUUUAGGUCUACGUUAAAAUCCAGAGAAAAAUUAGGGUUCGGGAGUCGAUUACGCGCGAGGAAUGUAUUAGCACCCUCGCGACGCCCAAAAUUGGUAUCGUAUAAACAUGUGUUGUCUUGAUUUUCAAAAAUACGAAUUCAAUGCAACAUUUACUCGUGAUCCGAUUGCAAAGACGAGAAGUUUUAGUUUUAGUUUUAGUUUUUUUAGUUUUUGAGAAGGGUAUACCAUUUUAACACGAGCCGAUAAAUUUCAUCCAACAUAGCGAUGAAACUUACGACUUAAUGUUAAAUCGAUACAUUGCCUUGAUUAUUGAAAUUUAUUAAAACAUGGGAAAGAUAUUUAUAUAGUGAGAAUUUUAAGUAAAUCAAUGAUGCAAAUAAUGACAUUAUUAAUGAAAAAUAUUAACAUGAACACUAGAGCAUUAGAAAAACAAUAACAAUGAUAUUUACAAAAGAAAUAAUAAUACAAAAAAAAAUAAGUCAUGAAUAAAUAUAAAAUACACUUAGUAAUAAUAAUAUAAGAUAAUAUGUACAUAAGAUAAUAUGCAAAAAUAUAAUACAUGACAUAUAUACAUGACGUAUGAAAGUAUAAUGCCUAAAAGAUAUAUGUGUAAUAAUACUAAAUAUAUAUAUACUAGAUACAUGUACACAUAGUAUAAAUGAACAUGUGCAAUAUAUAUUAGGAACAAUAUAGACAAGGAAAAUACAUUUAUAUACUAAUAAUAAUAAAAGAUGUAUGUACACCAAAUAAUAAUAUAUAAGUGGCAAUAAUGAAAAUAAUGAGUAUAAAAAUGAAUAAUAUGACAUACGAAAAUAACACAAAUAAAAGAGUAUAUAUAUAUGUAUAAUAAAACAUGGGUACUAAUUAUGUAAUAAAAUAUAAUAAUAUAUAUAUAGUAUGGUAUUAAAACAUAGAUAUAAAAACAUAAUACUAAAAUAUACAUAUAAUAUAUAAAGGUAUAUAUAUAGUAAAGUAUUAAAAAUUUUGUGCAAGAUAUAUAUAUAUAAUAUGAUGUUAAGAGUAUACAUAUAAAAUAUAAUGUUAAAAGUAUUUAUGCAUAGUGUAAAAAUGUAUAUAUAAUAUGACAUUAAAAUAUUUACCUAACAUAUAUGUAUAUUGGAGAUAAUGAUGUCAAAGAAAACUAUUAUAAUAUUGCAUGUAUAUAUAUCUAUAUGUAUAUUUAAGGACAUAUAAUGAGACACAUAUUAAAGUUAAUGAUAAUCAACAAUGAUGACAUAAAAACAUAUACAUAUAUGACAAGGCAUUCACUAUGUUAACAAUUAUAAUAGUAACGAUAUUAAAAUACAAUAUAAUAUAACAAAAAUACAUCACAUAUAUAAAUCUAUGUACAUAAAUGAAAGUAUACACUAUUAUAAUAAUAUAACAAUAUUAUUAAAAUACCAAAAACAAAUAUAAUAAAGAUAUUGGAAUAAAAAUAAACCUAUACGUGUAAAUAUAUACAUAUAUACUAGAACAAAUAUAUAUAAUAAUAAUAAAUAUAACAACAAUAUUGAAAAUACAUAUAUAUAUAACAUAAUAUUUAAAAGACAUAUAAUAAAUACAUUUAACAUAACAAAUAUAAAUAUUAUAACAAAUAAAAUACAGAAAAUGAAAACAAGUAAAUUAAAAAUAAAGCAGUAAAUUAACCAAAGGACUAAAUUGAACUUAAAACAACACUUUUGGGGCGAAAUUAGAAAUAAAAUAGCAGGGAAUGACCAAAAUGCCACGCGCGCAUAACUUAGGAGGGUUAAAACAGCAAAUAUUCCCUUUCACCAAAACGCUGUGCAGCGCGGAGGGACUAGAUCGCAAAUCAGAUUAAAUUUUAGGGCCGAUUUAUAAAUAAAUAUAAACCUAAUUUAAAACAAAAAAAUGCGGAAGGACCAAUUGCACAAAUAUCCCAUUGAGUUAAAAACACGCGGAUCCUGAAGCGGGUUCGGGGCGAAUCGGGUCGGGCCAAGUAAAACGACGUCGUUUUUUAGUCUAAGUUUGGACACCAAAACAGUGCCGUUUUGGUAGGCUAUAAAUAGCCUAAAAAUCUGGAAAAAAAACAUUUGGAGAGGGGAAAGAAAAAAAUGAGGGAGACGGGAGCACGGGGCGAUUUUCGAUGGGGGAAGGUGGCACCGGCUGAUCGUCGGCCUGUCGCCGGCACCGGCGCCGACCACCGUACACGGUGGCCGAAAAGGUAAUUUUUUUAUAUAUUUUUUUGUUUUUAGUUAAAUAAUGUUUUAUAUAUAUAUGUAUAUAGAUGUAUUUGAAUAAAAAAGAAAAAGAAAAGAAAAGAAACGGAUUCGAUGAAAAAAAAUAACCUUUUUGCCUUCAAUAUUGGUUAUGGUAUUCGGAUCUCUUUGCUGUUUGAAUCACGAUUUUUGUAUGUUUGUAUUGAAAACUAUUGUUGUAUUUGAAACUCUUUUUAUUUUCUGUUGAUGUUGUUUUUUUUUUCAAAAGUCCCUUUUUUACCAAUUUUCAUUUGGCUUUAUAGCCUCUUUAGUUACAUUAUUUUCUUCCAUUUUCUGCUGCUGUUGUGUGUCUCUUUGGUUUUGCAGGUAUGGCCGGCGUUGGUUGUAGCACCCCAAACCUGGCCCAGACGUUAUGGCCGAAUCCGACACGCCACAUCGAAGCGUUCAAAACAUUUUAUAUUAUUGGUCCAGAAAAACUUACUUAGUGUUUUAAAAGAUGAUUUCAUUAUAGGUUAAAGUGAAUGGAAGCUGUGCACCAGGUAGGAAACCGGAAAAGAGGUGGUGAGUCCAUCGGACUGCUUAAGUACCAAGCUCCCUUCGGAUCCAAUCCUAGACAUGCAUACCGCCAUUGCCACACCUUAACGUCAUGGAUAUUUCUAGGAAACCGAUUUGAUUAAGUCAUUUUUAGGAAAAGUGAUUAAUUUUGGAAAAUACUUUCAUUGCGGAAGCUUUAUUUGUUGUCGUGUUAUUUUGAAAUCAAUUGUUGUUUUUGAAAACGCGCCCUAAAGCUAUCCAAUUUCAACAGUUAAAAUAAGUAAUACCUAUCUUAGUAUUACAUAUUAAAACCAUCAAAAAUAAUUAAGCGACCUUAUUACAUUUAAAAACCCAAAACUUCAAACGUAAAUAAAAGGAUGUCCAGUUCACCAGAAGAAAAUCAAACUUUCAGAACGGGUGGCCACUCCGAAUUCCCUCACAGCUCCAAGCCCACUAUGGUUGGGGAUUUUCUGCGUGGAUGAAAAUAAAAGGGGUGAGUUUGGGGAAACUCAGUGUGUAAGGAAAACCCAUUCAAAGCCCAAGUCAGCUCAAGCCUAUUGGGCCUAAGCCCAUUCAGGUAACAGUGAUACUGGGCUAGAGCCCUUUUCAGAUUACAAUAAACUAGGCCUUAGCCCCUUAUUCAGAUAACAGUAUGGCCCAUAGACCCAUUUCAAAAUACAUGCAACAUCAGUAAACAUAUGCAAGCCCAUUUGGGGAGACUACUCAACCCACCAACCACUACACUCCACCCGUACCAGCAAUACACUCCAUGUGGGGAUAGCUCAACCCACCCAGCCCAACACUCCACAGUUGCAGCAUUGCUGCUCAGUUAACAGUAAAUUGAGGCAAAGCCUCCAGUACAUGGACAAGCCACUUUCAAUACUUCCUCCGUCAAUAUCUCAAUCCCAUGCAUCAGAUAAUAACAACAUGACAUGCAGUAAAUAACAACAGUCAAACAUGCAUUUAAGUCAAUUUAACCCUAGGGGUAUUUCGGUAAUUUAUCUCCUAGGGGUAAAACUGUAAAUUUUCCACUUUUAAAGGUAUUUCAGUAAUUUAUCUAUUUUAGGGUUUUUCAUGCAUAUUCCUACUUUUCACGUACUAAUAGAAUCACUACCGAGGGUUCUUACCGAAUUGGGCCCGUUGGCCCAUCAUUCCAAUUUUGGCCCAUUAAGCCCAAAAAUAUCGAGGGCACAGAAAUCAUGCACUUUGCAGUCCAAACAUUGCAGCUUACCAAAAACAUUAAUCGAUUUACCUCACGACCAUUCGCACACUCGCAAAUCUACAAAAUACCGGUUUUCGGCAUUUCGGCUUUUCGACUUUUGCCAAUCUAGACUAAGAAAGAGGGUGUUAGUUACACACCUAUUUGCAACGAUAUGCUAACGAGAUCCACACACGAACCGCCUACAAUUGGAUUACUAACACGUUAAUCUAACUAUUCAAAUACAAACUACGUAUUAACCCCUUACAAUAUUCGGCCAACCACACCUAUAGAUCAUAGUAAGCUUAUAAGAAAACAAUAAGCAACUCAUUAACAAAUUUUUGUGAAUGUUUACCACAUAAUCAUAAUUUCACUGCAAGCUGUCUUCCUGAGCGAUAGUCACUAAAUCAUUUAUAACUGGAGCUACGAAACUCCAAAUCAAGUGCCGUUAAUUUUUCCUAAAAAUAGACUCAAAUAUCUUAUAUCCAUAAAAUUUUUAGAAUUUUUGGUUUGGCCAAUCAAUACCAGAUUUUUCUCAAAGUUUCUCAUGUUUCACUGUUUGACUAAUCUGACCACUCUUCAUUACGAAUCAAAUUUCUCAUUGUACAGAAUUCAAAAUAUGUUCUCGUUUAUUCCAUUUGAAACUAGACUCAUUAAGAUUUAAUUACAUAAUCUAUUCAACUUCUAAUUCAUCUCCCGCAAUUUAUGGUGAUUUUCCAAAGUCACGUUACUGCUGCUGUCCCAAGCAGAUUUAUUACCAAAUCACUCUUUCACACAUAACUUGCAUGCAUGUUUUUUUUUUAAAACAUGUAUAUCUCCAAUCAAUCAUCACAUAUCUAUGAUUUUAAUUAAGUAUAAUCUCCAUUUCAUCAUUUUAAAGCACAACAUAUUAGCCGAUUUUUCCCCUUAGCAUCUAAGCACAUGCAUGCUCAUUUGUUUGGCUCAACUUCACUUAUCUUCCAUUUUUCAUCAAAAGAACAUGAAACAACAACCAUUUCCUUCAUUUUAAUUCAUGACCAAAUGCUCACAACACAACCAAAAACCAAAAUAUGCUUCAAGAGUUAAGGUAGAAUCAAGAAGAACUCAUGAACAUCAAGAUAGAAGCAAACUACCAUGAACUUACCUUCAAUUUUCUUCCCCAAGUGACCAAACAUUUAAGAGCUUUCUCCUCUCCUUUCUCUUCUCUAACUUUAGGCUAUGAUGAACAAAGAUGGACAAAACUUUGUUCUUUUCACCCCUUUUUCUUUUAAUAAAACUUCAUAGUUCAUCCAUUUAAUUCUUUAAUACAAAAGACAUGAAAUUCUUAUCAUGAAACAUUUACCUAACCCAUUAUCAUAAAACAUUUACCUAACCUUUUAUCAAUUUGUAUCAAUUUGUACCAUAAAUUAUGGAUAUCAAGUGCACAUUUUGUCUACAACAACAUGAUGGCUGGCCACUUCAUGUAAAAUGGGAGGUUUGUCAUGCAAAUCCUCCUAUUUUGCACUCCUAUUUAUUUGGCCACUUCAAUUUAGCCUAUAGCAUUUUCAAACAUUUUCACAUAGGUUCUAUUUCAUAAUUUCACCCCCUUUUUCUUAUGGAACAAAAAUUAACUAAAAUUGUCGGGUUCUAUCUUAAGUUUGGGCUUUCUAGAGGCCCACUAACAUAAUUAAACCUAUGCCAACAUUCACAUGAUUCCCAAAAAUUGGGGCGUAACAACUCUACCCUCCUUAAAGAAAUUUCGUCCUCGAAAUUUACCUAAUCUAAACAGAUGAGGGUAUUGCUGUUGCAUCGUCUCUUCUGGCUCCCAAACUCAGAAGUUUCCCCUUCCUUAACUUGUUGAAAAUGAGCGAUCAAAGACUCAUCAUUCAACUAUUUUUCCUUAAUCUGAUCCACCCAGGUUGGCCUUACUUGCAAUUCAGCCAACAAACUGCCAUCAUCAUACAGACUCAAACGAGCAAACAUUGCUCUCAGAUCAGAUACGGUUCUACGACUUAAAACAUCGGCUACCACAUUAGCCUUGCCUGGGUGAUACUCGAUCGAACAGUCAUAAUCCUUAAGCAACUCAAUCCAUCUCCUUUGCCUAAGGUUUAGCUCCUUCUGAGUCAACAAAUACUUAAGACUCUUAUGGUCAGUGUAUAUAAUACACCUUUCUCCGUACAAGUAAUGUCUCCAAAUCUUAAGCGCAAAUAUCACUGCUGCCAACUCUAAAUCAUGAGUCAAAUAGUUUCCCUCAUGAGGCUUAAGCUAUCGUGAUGCAUAUGCAACCACCUUACCCUCUUGCAUUAACACGCAGCCCAAACCCACGUGUGAUGCAUCACUGUACACACUAAAAUCCUUCCCAGACUCCGGCUGAAUUAACACAGGUGCUUCAGUCAGAACUUUCUUCAACUUCUCAAAAGUUUCCUGCUGCUUCUUAGUCUAUACAAACGGUACUCCUUUCCUUAUGAGUUUUUCAGAGGUGCUGCCAUCACAGAAAAACCUUCCACAAACCUUCUGUAGUAUCCUGCCAGUCCUAGGAAACUCCGUAUUUCCGACACUGACCUAGGCGGCUUCCACUCUAAAAUUGCUUCAAUCUUUUGAGGGUCCACCUUAAUCCCUUCGGCAAAGACCACAUAUCCUAAGAAGGUUACCUCCCUCAACCAAAAUUCAAACUUGCUGAACUUCGCAAAGAGUUCCUUCUCCCUUAAUACUUACAGCACUAUACGGAGAUGCUCAUCAUGUUUCAUUUUAGUUUCAGAAUAUACCAGGAUAUCGUCAAUAAAGACGACUACGAACUGAUCCAAAAAUGGUUGGAACACACGAUUCAUUGGAUCCAUAAAUGCUGCAGGAGCGUUCGUUAGUCCAAAUGGCAUAACCAGAAACUCGUAAUGACCAUACCGAGUCCUGAAUGUCGUCUUUUGGAUAUCUGCCUCCUUGACCCUUAACUGAUGAUAUCCAGAUCGAAGGUCGAUCUUGGAAAAUACAGAAGCUCAUCUAAGCUGGUCGAAUAGAUCAUCAAUCCUUGGCAGUGGAUACUUAUUCUUAAUCGUAAGUUUGUUCAACUGGCGAUAAUCAAUGCACAUCGGCAUCGUACCAUCCUUCUUUUUCACGAAUAGCACCGGUGCUCCCCAUGGAGACACGCUUGGCCUAAUGAAGCCCCUAUCCAACAACUCUUGAAUUUGAGCCUUUAACUCCACUAACUCCUUUGGUGCCAUCCUAUACGGUGCGAUGGACACAGGCGCCGUUCCAGGCAACAAAUCUAUUCCAAACUUAACUUAUCGGUUCGGAGGCAAUCCUGGAAGCUCCUCCGGAAAAACAUCUUGGAACUCCUUUACGGUCCUAACCUUAUCCACUGUCAGUCCCUCCUCUUCCGACUGACUUACAAAUACCAAUUAGGCCUCACAACCUUUUUGAAUCCACUUUUUGGCUCUUAAAGCCGACACCACAUUGGACAAAUAAUCCCUUCGCUCACCUAUCACUAUAACCUCCUCAUCCUUUGUGGUCCUUAACACCAUUCGUUUAGCAGCACAAUCUAGAGUCACUUUAUGCUUAACAAGCCAGUCCAUUCCCAAAAUGAGAUCAAACUCUCCGAACGGUAACUCCAUCAAAUCUCCAGGGAAAAUCUUACCUUGAGUUUCUAAGGGUACAUCCCUAUACAGUUUGUCUACCCUAACUGAGUGACCCAAAGGACUUAGUACAGAUACCCCACUCAAAAUCUCCUCAAAGCAGUCUAAGUUGUCCAUAAUCCGUUCUGUGGCCUCUAACCAAUAUUCUGCCACAUUCGGGGCUAUACCAGACACGCCCCUAAAGAUCUCCGCUCCGUUAGCCCAGAGUCGUUCAGAAAUAGAUCCCCGAAUUCCGUUGCUCGUACUUGCUCCGGCAACCCUUUCCAGAACACGAAGCAUUGCCUGUGAUAGGGCAUCAUUCCCAGCACCGCAGUCAUGAGACUCUACUUCUGUUGCUGGUGGUACCGGUGUAUCCACCGCCGGCAUAUGUCUCGAAGACGAAGAUCUCGCUCGAGCACUUCCUCGGCUCCAUCCACGGCCACUUGUACUCAUAUCGUAUUAUCUUGAUUACAAAUUUUUAUGCAUCAAUUAAUAUUCCAGUGUUUAUUACAGAUGUUUUAUGAAUCAGAUAGAUAUUCAGAGUUUGUUUUCGCAGAAUCGAAGUCUAGCUACAGUUUCAGUCUCUUAUCAAAUUUUUCUAUGGUUUCAGUAUCAUCCUAUCUAGAGUAUCCUAGCAGGAUUUUAGUAUAGACAGAUAAUUCAGGAAAAUAUUCAGAAAAAUUCAGAAUACUUACAGACUUGAGCCGGAGAUUCGGAAUGCCACCUUCUAAAGAUCUAAAUUUUGAAAAUCAAGUUUUUCGCAUUCUUUAUAAAAUUUUCGCUUUCAAGAAUCUUUGUUUUUGUAAACCCAUUCCACAGCCGAGUUGUUGCAACCUAGGCUCUGAUACCACUAAAUGUAGCACCCCAAACCUGGCCCAGACAUUAUGGCCGGAUCCGACACGCCACAUCGAAGCGUUCAAAAUAUUUUAUAUUAUUGGUCCAGAAAAACUUAGUAUUUUAAAAGAUAAUUUCAUUAUAGGUUAAAGUGAAUGGAAGCUGUGCACCAGGUAGGAAACCGGAAAAGAGGUGGUGAGUCCAUCGGACUGCUUAAGUACCAAGCUCCCUUCGGAUCCAAUCCUAGACAUGCAGACCGCCAUUGCCACACCUUAACGUCAUGGAUAUUUCUAGGAAACCGAUUUGAUUAAGUCAUUUUUAGGAAAAGUGAUUAAUUUUGGAAAAUACUUUCAUUGCGGAAGCUUUAUUUGUUGUCGUGUUAUUUUGAAAUCAAUUGUUGUUUUUGAAAAUGCGCCCUAAAGCUAUCCAAUUUCAACAGUUAAAAUAAGUAAUACCUAUCUUAGUAAUACAUAUUAAAACCAUCAAAAAUAAUUAAGCGGCCUUAUUACAUUUAAAAACCCAAAACUUCAAACGUAAAUAAAAGGAUGUCCAGUUCACUAGAAGAAAAUCAAACUUUCAGAACGGGUGGCCACUCCGAAUUCCCUCACAGCUCCAAGUCCACUAUGGUUGGGGAUUUUCUGCAUGGAUGAAAAUAAAAGGGGUGAUUUUGGGGAAACUCAGUGUGUAAGGAAAACUCAUUCAAAGCCCAAGUUAGCUCAAGCCUAUUGGGCCUAAGCCCAUUCAGGUAACAGUGAUACUGGGCCAGAGCCCUUUUCAGAUUACAAUAAACUGGGCCUUAGCCCCUUAUUCAGAUAACAGUAUGGCCCAUAGGCCCAUUUCAAAAUACAUGCAACAUCAGUAAACAUAUGCAAGCCCAUUUGGGGAGACUACUCAACCCACCAACCACUACACUCCACCCGUACCAGCCAUACACUCUAUGUGGGGAUAGCUCAACCCACCCAGCCCAACACUCCACAGUUGCAGCAUUGCUGCUCAGUUAACAGUAAAUUGAGGCAAAGCCUCCAGUACGUGGACAAGCCACUUUCAGUACUUCCUCCGUCAAUAUCCCAAUCCCAUGCAUCAGAUAAUAACAACAUGGCAUGCAGUAAAUAACAACAGUCAAACAUGCAUUUAAGUCAAUUUAACCCUAAGGGUAUUUCGGUAAUUUAUCUCCUAAGGGUAAAACUGUAAAUUUUCCACUUUUAAAGGUAUUUCAGUAAUUUAUCUAUUUUAGGGUUUUUCAUGCAUAUUCCUACUUUUCACGUACUAACAGAAUCACUACCGAGGGUUCUUACCGAAUUGGGCCCGUUGGCCCAUCAUUCCAAUUUUGGCCCAUUAAGCCCAAAAAUAUCGAGGGCACAGAAAUCAUGCACUUUGCAGUUCAAACAUUGCAGCUUACCAAAAACAUUAAUCGAUUUACCUCACGAGCAUUCGUACACUCGCAAAUCUACAAAAUAUCGGUUUUCAGCAUUUCGGCUUUUCGACUUUUACCAAUCUAGACUAAGAAAGAGGGUGUUAGUUACACACCUGUUUGCGACGAUAUGCUGACGAGAUCCACACACGAACCGCCUACAAUUGGAUUACUAACACGUUAAUCUAACUAUUCAAAUACAAACUACGUAUUAACCCCUUACAAUAUUCGGCCAACCACACCUACAGAUCAUAGUAAGCUUAUAAGAAAACAAUAAGCAACUCAUUAACAAUUUUUUGUCAAUGUUUACCACAUAAUCAUAAUUUCACUGCAAGUUGUCUUCCUGAGCGACAGUCACUAAAUCAUUUAUAACUGGAGCUACGAAACUCCAAAUCAAGUGCCGUUAAUUUUUCCUGAAAAUAGACUCAUAUAUCUUCUAUCCAUAAAAUUUUCAGAAUUUUUGGUUUGGCCAAUCAAUACCAGAGUUUUCUCAAAGUUUCCCAUGUUUCACUGUUUGACUAAUCUGACCACUCUUCAUUACGAAUCAAAUUUCUCAUUGUACAGAAUUCAAAAUAUGUUCUCGUUUAUUCCAUUUGAAACUAGACUCAUUAAGAUUUAAUUACAUAAUUUAUUCAGCUUCUAAUUCAUCUCCCACAAUUUAUGGUGAUUUUCCAAAGUCACGUUACUGCUGCUGUCCCAAGCAGAUUUAUUACCAAAUCACUCUUUCACACAUAACUUGCAUGCAUGUUUUUUUUUAAACAUGUAUAUCUCCAAUCAAUCAUCACAUAUCUAUUAUUUUACUUAAGUAUAAUCUCCAUUUCAUCAUUUUAAAGCAUAACAUAUUAGCCAAUUUUUCCCCUUAGCAUCUAAGCACAUGCAUGCUCAUUUGUUUGGCUCAACUUCACUUAUCUUCCAUUUUUCAUCAAAAGAACAUGAAACAACAACCAUUUCCUUCAUUUUAAUUCAUGACCAAAUGCUCACAACACAACCAAAAACCAAAAUAUGCUUCAAGAGUUAAGGUAGAAUCAAGAAGAACUCAUGAACAUCAAGAUAGAAGCAAACUACCAUGAACUUACCUUCAAUUUUCUUCCCCAAGUGACCAAACAUUUAAGAGCUUUCUCCUCUCCUUUCUCUUCUCUAACUUUAGGCUAUGAUGAACAAAGAUGGACAAAACUUUGUUCUUUUCACCCCUUUUUCUUUUAAUAAAACUUCAUAUUUCAUCCAUUUAAUUCUUUAAUACAAAAGACAUGAAAUUCUUAUCAUGAAACAUUUACCUAACCCAUUAUCAUGAAACAUUUACCUAACCUUUUAUCAAUUUGUAUCAAUUUGUACCAUAAAUUAUGGAUAUCAAGUGCACAUUUUGUCUACAACAACAUGAUGGCUGGCCACUUCAUGUAAAAUGGGAGGUUUGUCAUGCAAAUCCUCCUAUUUUGCACUCCUAUUUAUUUGGCCACUUCAAUUUAGCCUAUAGCAUUUUCAAACAUUUUCACAUAGGUUCUAUUUCAUAAUUUCACCCCCUUUUUCUUAUGGAACAAAAAUUAACUAAAAUUGUCGGGUUCUAUCUUAAGUUUGGGCUUUCUAGAGGCCCACUAACAUAAUUAAACCUAUGCCAACAUUCACAGGAUUCCCAAAAAUUAGGGCGUUACAUUGGUGGUGGCAGAGGCCGAAUGGGACGGGGUUAGGUGGGGUAGGUUCGGCGCCGAAAGGGAAUAAGGGUUAAGGUUGUUUUGUUUUUUCUGAAAAUGUUGGGAAUGGGCUAGGGUUUUUUUGGGUUAAGGUGUAUUUGGGUUUUGGGUAGGCUUAAUGGUUAAGUGAGUUUAAUGGGUUAGGGAUAUUGGGCUCCGGGUAAUUGGUUGGGUAUUUGGGGUUUAAUGGGUUUCUGUAAUUGGGCUCAAAAAUUAGCCUGUAACAGACAUAUUUAGAUAAUCAUAAUAAUUAGAUUUAAGUGUAAUUGAAGUAUUCAAGUACUUACUUCAAUUCUUAGGGAGGAGUUGAGAAUUGGAAACUAUGCAAGUAAUUAGUGUUGAUGACUUUUAAAUUUCUUUUUAUUAUUUCUUUUUAAUUUUUUUAAUUAUACAAUUAUGUAAUUAGAAAUAUAACUUAAAAAUUAAAAUGAUAAUGAAUUAAUAUUGUUUUGUAAUUAUAGAAAAGUAAUUAGUAUCCAAAUAAUUACAUAUUUUUAUCAUUAUUAUGUUAACUCUAUUUCUUUUCUUAAUUUUUUCAUCAUCUUUCACCUUUAAAAAAUGAUAAGAUAUCACCCAAAAUGAGGUUGAGACAAGUAGGACCCAAAUCCAAUAAAUGAGAGAAAACAUGUAGAAAACGUGAUUCAAACAAUUGAGUCUAUGUUAUGUUUUCAUUAUAAAUUAAUGCGUAGAAAUCCUCUUGUGUUUCUCAACUCAUCUCUUUGCUUUCUCUCGUGACUCUUUGUUCGUCAAUUUUUCCUAAUUAUGGUGUGAACUAGAAUUUUUUUGCACUCCUCUUCAAAAUUUCUGUUUAGAUUUUUAAAGUUUGAAUUCCAAUUUUUAUGUACCAUUCUACCAGUCAUUAUUAAGUAUAUAAUAAUAUAAAUUAUGUUAAAUAUGGUUUUUGUUAUUAUUAAAAAAUAAAAUAAAAAAAAUUAAUUAUAAUUUGAGUGUGAAAGCAUUAGUAGAGUUAUAGCUCUACUUGUAAGGUUAAAUUUUGCUAUCAGUUUUUGUACUUUAUAAAAUUUAAAAUUUUGGUCUUGACCUUAAUAGUAGUAGUUAAAUUUAUUUAGUUAAAUUCAAUUAUUAAUUUUGUACUAUGUGUUCAAUUAUAGAUUUAGUCUAUUUUUUCCAAUUAGAUCAUUUUAAGUCCCUAAACCUUUUAAAUUUUGAAAUCUCAGUUUUAACACAAAAGACAAUUGAUAAUCUAUUAAUUGUAUUUUUAGUGAGUAAUAUGUAAAUAGAAUAAACUUAUAUGACCUUAAAGAUAUGAUAAUAUAUUUGACGCAUCAAAUUUUGAAAAAAUCGAAACAUUACUUAAUGAGUUUAAUAAUUAUUAUUUGGUAAUGAUUGAAAUUUUAAAUUUUAAAAAGUACAAGAACUAAAAAUGACCAAAUAAAAGUACAAAGAUUAAAUUAACAGCUUUUUGCUAAAUAUAGGGACUAAUAGAAAAAUUUAACCUUACUUGUAAUGUAGUAGUAUGGAAGCCCUUGUACUAAGAAUCAAAUUACAUUUUGCCCUCUCUAAUAAAAAAAUAGACAAAUUAGUCCCUGUAUAUUAUGUAAAAGAGCAAAUUAGUCAUUCAUGUUAAAAAUUUUGUCUUUUUUAUUGUUAAAAACUGAUGUGGUUAACAGAAUAAUCAGGCAAUGCCAUGUAACAUGUCAUGUGUACCUCAUGCUGACAUAUAAAGAUUAAUUUUUAAUAACAAAAAUGGAUAGAAUUUUCAACAGAAAGACCAAUUUGCUCUUUGAUUUAAUGUACAAUGACUAAUUUACUCAUUUUUAAUUAAAAAAGAUAAAAUACAAUAUAAUACUUAAUACACAAAUUUUUAUAAUACUUUUACUUGAUAUACCACAUGCAAAAAUUUCAUUGGUGAGGCUUAGUCACAUAAAAUUUGAGUUCACAUUCAACUACCAGCUUUGGUUUUUUUUUUUUUUCUUACAAAAACGUGUAACCAUUUGAGUUUGACUUGCGGUGACCAACCAGAUUUAUUAAUCUAUUUUAAGUAUUGUUAGUUGAUUAUGAUCUUUUUCUUGUCUUGGGCUACUUACUAAUCAGAGAUUUAUUUUGGUUUUUAUAAUUUUUUUAAAAUUUAAUUUUAGUCUUGAGUACAAGUAUAUAAAAUAUAGUAAAUAAUAGUUUGAUCGUCAAAGUCUUUUUUAUUUUUUUUCUCCUUCAAAGUUUUAUUAUUAUUAUGCUUUAUAAUAUCUGUAAUUUAUUAUUGACAAUAAAUAUUUUACAUAUUUUAGUGCUCCUUAAUUUUAUAAUAAGUUAAAUGCUUUUGUAUACAUUUUGGGUAUUUACUAUUAAAGGGUAAUUUGACUUAGGUUGUUACUUUAACAAUUAACUGAUGAGAAUAUAAAUAGGAGAGGUUGGCAUCUAUAUUUCGGCAAUAUAUGACUGAGAUAAAGCAGGAAAAUUAGCAUACCUGUUGAAUCUGUCUACCUCCACCAAAAUAGGAUGGAAACUUCUUAAAGAAGGGAGUCUAGUGAUAAAAUCUAACGAAAUAUCCUCCCAAAUUUUCUCAGGAAAUAGCAGAGGUUGCAUGGGGCUUGCUGGUACAAGUUUCUAAUGUUUGCUCUGUUAACAAAUUAAGUAGUUCUAAACAAAGAUGUAAGAUUAUACUAAUUGUAAUUAGCACAUAAAAUUAUGGCAAAAUAAAUAAAAGAAUUAGAAAAUAUAUCAAAUCAUUGUUGGAGUGGUUGAAUAUAUGUUGGGAUCUAGUGUGUUUAUGUCUCGUUUGGUUACUAAUGUAAUAACAUGAUGAAAAAUUUUAUUUAUUAUCUAUGUAUUACAAUUGUUACGUAUAAAAUAAAUAAUAGUUAAUACAAAUUAAAUUAGAAUUUAAAAAGAUGAGUAAUAAUUUUUGUAAAAAAUAAGCGAAAAUUUUUAUUCUCUUUGCUAAAAAUAAGUCAUGAGAGUGGUUAAAUGUUUCUAAUUAAAUUAGUUUAUUGUUAACCCCUAUACUAAAACAUGUGUAAAAAAUAAUGCUCCUACCAAAUGUAGCAUUAGUGUAGUGGUUACGUUUGUGUGCUUGUAAUUUCUAGAACAAGUUGGUUUAAUAAAGCUCCAUUGUUAUCAUUAAUAUCUUUUGUAUAUUGUCAUCAAUGGUUUUUUAACAUUUAAAUAAUGAUAAGUUGCAUUAUGUGGUAGAAUUAUAAUGCGAGAAGACAAUUUAUGUUAGUAGAUAAUCUAAGCAAUCCUUAGUCUAAUUGAAAUUGAGUUCGUUGAUUGAAAGACAAAUAUGUCAUCUAUCAAGUCCAAUUAGAGAGAUAUCACGUCUUGGGUAUUAGAGCGGAUAACUCUCAAAAAAUAAGGACAUAGGGUGAAUCGUAGGCCUGUUUAUGGAUUUAUUCACUUGUGAUAUUAAUAGUAUGAUUUACCUCAAUCUUAAGAAGUGAUGAACUAUGUGUGUGUAGCUCAUAUAUUUUAAUAUAUUGAUAUCUUAAAUUCAAUUAGCAAUAGAGUCAGACUUUAGAUAUUCAUCUUGUUGGAAAUAUUAGAUCGGGUUCACCCAUAAUGGGUUCAAACUUAAUAUUAUUAGAAAACAGUUACACUUAGAGAAAACUAUCAUUGGUAGUAUAUAUAUAUAAGGAAGUUUCCUUCCAAAGAAAAACUGCCCAAUAGUAAUAAUAAUAGUAAUAAUAACAAGCCAUGCAGCUUUUACAUAGACAUUCUGUCAUAUGAAAAUUGUAUUUUCAAAAUGACAUUUUAUCAUUAUUUGUUUUUAAAUGGCUUUCCACAGCCAUCAAGUAUUAAUGAUAUUUCCCCAUUGAUUUAAUAUAAAGAGAAAUAAGUUUUUUUUAGAUAAUGCAAUACUUGAAUAUUUCUACAUUAUAAAAAAUUUAGGUUGUGAAAUUGUAAACAAUUUUCUUCAUGUGAUCUUGUCCUUCACCAGUAUGGUAUCAAACGAUCUUGUAAAUUCAUUAAAUUAAUUCUGCAUUUAUUUUUGUGUAAUAAAUCAUUAGACGUAAUAAUAUUUAUUGGUAUCAAAGCUUUUAAGUUUCGAUUUUCGAUCUAGUCCAAAUUUUUAUGAAAAUAUUAAAAUCCAUCUAGAUAUGUUUGAAUCCGUAAAUAAUUAUACAAAUGUAUAGAUACUAUAUACAAUUUUGGAUUUGUUGAAUCCUAUAAUUUGAUUUUAAAAAUUGUGAUUCUUCUUAAAAAAUGAAAUUAUAAUAACAUUACGGUUUACUUUCAAAAAGAAAUCAAACACUAUCUUUUUUUUUUAUGUAUAUUAAUGGUGGAAAGUUAUAUCUUUUAACCACAUUUUUUAUUUUAUAUUUUUUUAACUUCUCGAGAGAAGUAUAUAUUUUCAAAUUUUGAAAAAUAAAAUAAAAUUUAGUCAUUUUUUUUCACUUUGAUUAUUUGUUUUCGAGAGCUCUUGUGACAAAUACUGAAAAUUAUUUUGGGCUUCAAAUGGUCAUAAAGAUUAUGAUACAAUUUCUAAGAUUUGGUAGUUUCUUACGACUAAAUAAUUCCGAGAUGGAUCCAAAUUAUGAUGUUACCGUAGCAUCAUAGCCGUAAAAGUAAAAUCCAAAAUUUAUUUUGGAGUGACGUUCUAACAAUAAGAAGUGGUCGUAACAAAUAUAUAGUGUUACACAAUAUACAUCUUAUCCAAGCACGCAAAAAAGAUUUUAUAUUUUUUUAAUAUCUAGGUAAAGAAUGGUCAUGAACACGUCUCUAUGUGCGGGCAUCAAAGUUAUGGAUCAACACAAUUAUCUCUAAAUAUCUAGUGCUAUAUUAUAAGUGUGAUAGGUGAGUUGUAAUAUUUGUAAGUAUCUCAAUGGAACAUUUUAAAUAUUCAAAGAAUCGAACCCAAGAGUAUUCGAAGAUAAAGUGAUUCAUAACCAACAAGCAUGUAAAUAGGAAGUCUAAUUAACUACAAUAUUACGACAAUUUUGGCCUAAGUAUCAAGUUUAGAUUUGGAUUUACAUCAAACGGAUGUAAAAACUACCUUUCUAAAUGAAAAUAUGGAAGAGGAAACCUACAUGGAACAAGUACUAGAUUCGUUGACAAAGGUCAAGCGAACAAUGUGCGCAAGAUAUUAAAAUUAAUUUCUGAUUUUAAGUGAUCUUCAAAAUAGUGGUAUAUCAUUUUUAUCAAGAUAUCAUUUAGUUUGAUCAAGACCACUUUAUACAUUCAAAAAAGAUGAAAAAGACAAAUUUGUAACCUUGUCAUUUUAUGUAGAUAACACGUUGUUGGCCUCAAAUGAUUUAGAGCAUAUCAUUUUAUGUUAUGCAAGACUACAAGUCAAUUCAUACUCCUAUUAGAAAAGGUAAAGCUUUGAGUAAUAGAAUGUUUCUUUAAACUCUAUAUGAAAAGUAAGAGUUCUUUAUUCUAAUAUUUUGAGUAGGAUCAUUUAUGUUAUGAUACACAUAAGGCAAAAUAUCUCUUACAUAGUUGGAUUCAAGAGAAUCCAAUCUAAUCCCCAUUGAAAAACGAUGGUAAUUAUAUUGAAGUAUUUAAAAGGCACUGUAAACUUUUGUCAUGAUAUCAAAAAAGUGGUUUGUAUCUAAUUGGGUAUACAAACAUCUAUUGAAAAGCAAAUUGAGAUAAAAUGAAAUCUAUCUCCAGAUAUAUGUUCUUCCGUAAUAAUGGAGUGAUCUCCAUGAAUAGUAAGAAAUAUGCUUGUAUAACAUUGUCCACUAUGGAUGGUGAAUUUGUGGCAUUUUUAGUGAUGAUAUAUAAGUGUUUGGCCUAAAUGGUUUUGUUUUUGAAUUAUUUGGGACCUAAUAAAGAUACAUCAUAAUGAUAGUGAAAUGCAAUUUCAAGUUUCAAUCACAUUCAUGAGGAAUCCCAUAUAAUUUCAAGGACUAAACACAUAGAUACAAAGAAUAAUUAUAUAACACCCUAUAUCUGGUCCAGUCACCUGACCUGAGCUGUAAGAUAUUACAACUAUAAAACUUUGACAUUGUUCACAAUUUAAAUAAAAUAAAAUAAAUAACCAAAUAUUUCAUUAUCAAUCAUUUUUCAUGUUAUUCAAUCAAAAUGGGACUUAAUUCGAGCUUACGGAACAUUUAAAACAAACCAGGGACAAUUCUGAAUUAAAAUGAAUUUUUCACAAAAAUUUGAGUAAAAAGUGAAAACAGGGGUCACAAGCCAUGUCGUGUGACAGAGCUUAGCCUAUGUCGCUCAAAAAACAUGACCAUGUGGCCAAACUGUGUAACAAGCUAUGCCCGUGUACACGGCCAUGUGGCAGACCAUGUCACAGACUGUGUGAGGCACACGGCUGUGUGGCAGACCAUGUGGUAGAUCGUGUCACAAGUUGUGUGUACCCAAAAUACUUUCAAAUUCAAGCCAUUUCACCUACACAACCCUAAACUCUAAACCAAAAUAUGCCAAUUCACAUUCAACCUAUGUGUCUAACCAAUAUGCCCUCAUUGACACCAUAAUUAAAGUAUAAACAACAACUAUCCAAACCAUGACAUAAUCAACAUGUCAACCUUAUUCAAUCCUCAAUUAAGUCGCAAAUAACUUAUGCCAUAAUCAACCAUUUAUAACCAACUUACAAACACAAAUAUACUUCAACCCAAGUUCAUAAGUUACCAAAACAAAGUGGUUAUUUCAAUAACAAUUCUUCAAGAAAGACAUCAAUUGAUAAACUAUCAUUUCAAGAUACCAAAACACAAAAUACAAAUUUACAUUCCAAAUGACACAAGUCAUCACCAAGUUUUUUUAAUAACAUAAGCAUAUUGAAACCCUAUUUACAUGCCACUUAUAACCGGCCAAAAUAAACAAAUAGCUACAAAAUGAGUUGUCGGAUAGUGUGAUAUCCAAUGACAUUCCAAUUGAUAGCAAAAGUCCGACAAUCUACAAAGAAGUAAAACCAAAUAAAGUAAGCUUACAUAAAGCUUAGUAAGUCCGUAAAAACAAAACAUCACAUACCUAUAAAUUUAAUUACAAAUCAUACAUAACAUUAAACUAACACUACAGCAAAACAGGUUUUUAACGGUGAUUUUUUGGCCCUAUAGCGGCACUUAUAAGCACCGCAAAAAACGUGGCUUUAGAUAGUGCAGCUCAAAAUUGCGGCAUUUAUGUAGUAAAACGCUGCAAUAGAGUCGAGCAUGUUGUGGCGUUUGUAGCUAUAAGCGCCACAAAAGAUCAAGUUCUUUAACAGCAUUUGUAGUAAAAGUGCCGCUAAAGAUCAUGUUCUAUAGCGACAUUUGUGGGAAAACUUCACUAACAUUAACAUAAUUUACCAACCCAUUUUAUUUCAUAUAAAACCUGAAUUUUCAACAUAUUUUCCUAUAACUUCAAAUCCAACAACAAACUUCAAAUCUAAAUUGUCGAAACUAUUUUUUAGAGUUUUAAAAAAACGGGGAUCGACUUUUAAAUAACAUGUGGAGUCGCCAUCAAUCUCUUUACUUAUGUGGGAUUGGGUCACCUACUAAAAUGUUUUGUUCCACUUGAAACAAUUUUGUAAAAUUUUUAAAAAAUGGGUUCGGGAGUCGAUUACGCAUGAGGAAGGGUGAGCACUCUCAUUAUGCCCAAAAAUUGGUACCAGAUUGAUUCAAUGCUAUCCUUAUAUCAAAGAUUUUAAAAAGGAUCUUUCAAAGUAUGGUUCUUUUAAAAAUGUUUGAGUAGUUCAAGUUAGCUGUCAAAAUUCUCUCGUUUCAAAGAUAUGCAGCAUCAUAUCCAGCACGAUUGGACACGAUCCUUUAUACCUUCAAAAAUACGAUUGAUUUUUAACUUUCAAAAGCUCGUACAUUAAAAUUAUAAAAGGAUAUCCAAAUAUUUAAUUCAACGAAAAAUCAUACCCAGCACGGUAGGGCACAAUUUCCCGAAUUCCCAAAUAUUGAAUACUGCCUUAUUUCAGAACUUUUGAAUAAUAAGGAAAAUGGGAAAUUAGCUCAAAACGAUUUAAUUUUUCUUGAAAUAAAAACGAGACAAGUAAUAUCAAUCAAAAUAUUAAAAUUUGAAUCACGAUGCAAUAAUAUAGAAAAAUCAAAGUUACAAACAUGGAUUACUAUACGAAAUAUUAUACAAGUAAACAAAAAGAACAAAUUAACAUGCACACAAUAGCAAUGAGCUCGCAUCCAAGAAACUAAUUAGAAAGAAAUAUAACAAGUUUCGGAUAUAGAUGGACAAAAAUUUAAAUAAUAGUGCAAAAGGCUAAUAAUCAAUAAAAAACGAUAAUACAUGAAACAAUAUGAAAACUAAAGCGACACAUAGCAUACAAAACAAUUUGGAAAUAAUUUGAAAACUAUUAAAUAUAUGAAAAUUUACAAAAUGAACAACACAUGAUUUGGUUUGAAAUAAUGUACAUAUAUAAAAAUAAAACUAAGAAUAUGUAAAUGAGUAUUAAAAUAAAUAUUGUGAAAGAAGAAAUUUGGAGCCAAGAACAUAAAAAAACAAAUCUAUUUAAAGGUGAUAAUGUACGUGCAAUAAUAGAAAAAAUCAAUGUACACAAUAUAUAAUGGAAAUAUAAUAAAAUAAAUGAUAAACAAUAUACAUGAAAAAAUAACAAACCAAUAUAUAAUAAAACAAUAUAUACAUGUAAGGAUCUUAAAUAACAAAGAAAUAAAAAAAUAUGUCUUCUAAAGAAUAAGCUAUAUACAUAAUAAACAGAUUUAAAAGCAAUUAUAUAAAAUAACAUGGAAUUAAUCAAUGUAUAUAAAAUAAAACCAAUUUUAAUAUAAACUAAAUAUAUUAAUAAUAUAUAUAAGGGUAGUUAAAUUAAAUAUUAUACAAAAUUUUGAAACAAUAUAAUAUAUAAAAGGUAAUUUUAAAAUAAUAAUUUUGUAAUAAAAACAAAAUAAUUUAAAAUGUAUAAAAAUAAGAGAUGAAAAAAUGAAUUAUACAAACUAAAAUGGAAAAAACUUAAUUGAAAUAAAAAUCAAACUAGAGGGAUAAUUAAUAAAAUAAAAAAAACUAUUGAAAUUGAAAUAAUGACUGAAGCGCAAUGCGCACGAAUGUCCAGGGAUUAAAACUGAAAAUAUUUCAGAUCCCAAAACAUGGCGUUUAGGCGUGGAUUAAAUUGCAAAUACGCGCAAAUUCUAUGACAAAUUUGAAAUGAAGUAAAGUGGAAAUAAGGUCUGCGCGAAGACGAAGGGUGCAAUUUGACCAUUCGAAGUAAAAGGGCGCGGAUCUGGGCCACAAAACGGGUCGGCGCGUAGAUCUUCUUCCUCCAGACGGUACCGUUUCAUGUUCUGCACAAAACAAGGUAAAAACCCUAAAACUAAUAAAAGCAAAUCAAAAUAAAACAAAAACUAAGGUCUAUCCCUUAUUCAUUCGGCCGGAAACUGGAAACUUCACAACCGCUAUUUCGUCUCCAUAUUCAACAGACGGCGUCAGACAAAAGCUUAAUCUGGCCCUAUUUGACCGCAAAUCCACGAGUUUUUCUAGGCUUUAACUUCAAUCCUCAUCUAGGCUUCGAUUACCAUGAAACAAACAAGGAUUUUGAAGCUUCCAAAAAAAGUUAAGUCUCUCCCUUUUACUUAUUUUUUUGCUUUCAUACGUAGUAACAAAGCUUUAAAAAAAAUAGGAGCUGAAUCGAAAAGAAAAUAAAAUCUAAAUCACCUUUUGAAAAACUACUCUCGAGAUGAUUUCUUAUUCAAACUUUUGUAGAUUUGUACUUGUAAAAUAUGUGUGUGUAUUUCUAGAAAAAACCAACCCGAUUUACAUCAUUUUUAUUCGGUUUUAUAGCCGAAAAAAUAAAAUAAAUAAAAGAAAAAAAUACAGAUUAAAAUACAAUUUCAUUGCUGUCAUUUGCUGUUAUUUGUUGUCCACUGCUCCCUUGCUUGUUAGUCUAUUGCAGGUGUGUAUGGCGUGGAGAAACCGUUCGUGGGCGUGAAACGUGGCGCACGUGGCUGAGGCAAUGGCGCGCGUGAAAGCUGGCACCAAGGCAGCAGCGACGCAAGGGGAAAAGGGAACCCUAGGGUUCUGAAAAUAUCAAACUUUCGGGCCCUAGCUGGUUUUUCAUUGGGCCAUUAUAAUUUGAUUUGUGUUUUGGGCUAGGGUAUUAAUUUGGGUAUUGGGUUAGUGAUUUGAAUUUAAUGUUUGGGUUUGGUUUGGUUUAAGACUGAAGAUUUGUAAACGAACAUUGGACUUUUAUUUUUUAUUAUUUUGGUUUUUAAUUUAUGUUUCUGGGUUUAUUGCGGGCCGAGCAAAAAUGGGCCAUUACAUAAAUGAUACUAUCACAAAAGAAAUAUGUAUAUGAUCUAAAUUAAUAACUGAAAUAACAAAAUAUGAUCAAAAGUUAUAUUGUUAAGAUAUUCUUAAAAUAUAAUCAAAAGUUAUAUUGUUAAGAUAUCCUCACAAUAAGAAAAAAAAAUCUAAGAUGAUGGAUUAUGCGAUUGAUUCUGCUGAAACAUCUUCAUUAUAUUUUAAAGUUGUAGUUGGAGUUUGUCAUAUUUUCUUGUUGCCUCUGCUACCCUUACUACUGCUUCUGCUUCCCUCACUACUACCUCCGUUUUUAAGUUGUAACUGGAGUUCAUCAUAUUUUCUUUUAGC
rnacentral:lncRNA from 1 species